rnacentral:rRNA from 1 species
ACGCUCGACACCUACGGAGGCAGCAGUGGGGAAUAUUGCACAAUGGGGGAAACCCUGAUGCAGCGACGCCGCGUGAGCGAAGAAGUAUUUCGGUAUGUAAAGCUCUAUCAGCAGGGAAGAAACUGACGGUACCUGACUAAGAAGCACCGGCUAAAUACGUGCCAGCAGUCGCGGUAAUCUGAGCGGGCUGGCAAGGC